rnacentral:rRNA from 1 species
AUUGAACGCUGGCGGCAUGCCUUACACAUGCAAGUCGAACGGCAGCACGGGGCAACCUGGUGGCGAGUGGCGAACGGGUGAGUAAUGCAUCGGAACGUACCUUUCAGUGGGGGAUAACGUAGCGAAAGUUACGCUAAUACCGCAUAUUCUGUGAGCAGGAAAGCAGGGGAUCGCAGGACCUUGCGCUGAUUGAGCGGCCGAUGUCAGAUUAGCUAGUUGGUGAGGUAAAGGCUCACCAAGGCGACGAUCUGUAGCGGGUCUGAGAGGAUGAUCCGCCACACUGGAACUGAGACACGGUCCAGACUCCUACGGGAGGCAGCAGUGGGGAAUUUUGGACAAUGGGGGCAACCCUGAUCCAGCCAUGCCGCGUGAGUGAAGAAGGCCUUCGGGUUGUAAAGCUCUUUCGGCCGGGAAGAAAUCGCACGGGCUAAUACCCUGUGUGGAUGACGGUACCGGAAUAAGGAGCACCGGCUAACUACGUGCCAGCAGCCGCCGUAA